UGCAGCUUUGUCAAAUUCAUUGGGUUCUGGCAAAAAAUGGCUGCCAGAGAGAAUGUAGCUCAUGGGUCCUACUGCCUUCCUUUGGUUUUACUGGGGAUAAAUGUGCUCCAAACACAA